CUGGAGAAGGAGGUGCUCCGCUGCCUCCACGGUACCGGUUCCGAGACCUGUUGCUGGGUGACUGGCAGGCUGAUGACAGGGUGCAGGUAGAAUUCUAUGAGAAUGAAAACACUUUCAAGGAGCGCCUCAAGCUGUUCUUCAUCAAAAACCAAAGAUCCAGUCUGAGGGUAGGCUGUUCAACUUCUCUCUGAAAGUAUUGAGCUGUCUCCUCUACAUGGUCAGAGUCCUACUGGACGACCCACAGGAGAAGACA